UUUCUAGUUUCCCAUGUGUUGUCAAAGCAAAGAUUACAACUAACAAGCUACACUGCCGGGAAACUAGGUAAGUAUUUGCUGAAUGAAUGCAUAUAACAUUUAGGACCAUAAUAAUCAUGUCACUCCUAGUUGGAUCAAAGCAGCCUCAGAGAUAACUUGUCUUUAGAGUGAUGCUUAAGAUGUUCUUACUCCUUGCCUGUUGAACAUGUUCUUUCUGGGGUGAUAACUUGUGCUCCCUUCAUCUAGACCACUUUUAAGUCAGUGGCAUAUUUUUGUAAGACAACGUCUAUAGUUCAUGGCCAUGGAACAAAGUAAAGGUAACUUAUUUUUGUAAACUAGGGACUGGCAAACUUUUUCUUUAUAAAAGGCCAGAAAGUAAAUAUUAAUAUAUUAGGCAUUAUAGGCCAAAUGUAGUUUCUGUUGCAUAUUCGUGUGCAUAUGUGUGUUGUUUGCCGCCCUCUAAAAAUAUAAAAACCGGCUGGGUGCGGUGGCUCACGCCUCUAAUCCCAGCACUUUGGGAGGCUGAGGCAGGUGGAUCACUUGAGGUCAGGAGUUCGAGACCAGCCUAGCCAACAUGGUGAAACCCCAUCUCUACUAAAAAUACAAAAAUUUGCCAGGUGAUUACAUGCCUGUAAUCCCAGCUACUGGGGUGGCUGAGGCAGGAGAAUUGCUUGAACCCGGGAGUCAGAGGCUGCAGUGAGCUAAGAUUGUGCCACUGCAUUCCAACCUGGGUGACAGAGUGAGACCCUGUCUCAAAAAAUAAAUAAGUAAAAUAAUAAUAUAAAAACCAUUCUUAGUUAACGGCCAUACAAAAUAGGCCAGGGGAUUGACUUGCUUGUCAUAAUUGGCUGACCCCUUGUCUAAACCAAUGAGCUGAACUUCCAUGGACAUAAUGAUACAUUUCUAAGUUCAGAGCAGCUGACUCACAUCUGUGGUCUUUUCCUCUAAUAUCCUAGUUGCUUCCUUGCCGUAAUUACUGACAGAGGUGUCCCUUCAGGACCUUGCUUACCUCAAAUAGAAGCUUUUUUCUAUUCUUACUUUCUGUGUGCUUCAGGGGCAGGAGAUUGGGUAGGUGUCCUUUUUGCUUUACUGCCACUUCAGACUUUCUCCCUUAGGUCUUUGAAGUUCUAUUCUUGCCUUCUUUCCUUACUAUCUUACCUCCCAGAAGAACCUUCUGCCCAUUCAUAGAAUACUUUAGCUCGUGGCCUAGUUUUCUUCUCCCCUGCAGCAAUCAUUUUAGUGAUUCCUUGUGGAUAACAAAUAGUGGCUAGCAAAUAUAACAACAGUAUGAGUUUUAAGUUUUCCAGUCUUUUUCUCUGUCCCAUCAGAGGCCUCUCAGUGGUCACACCUGGAUCCUUAUCAGCACCUCCACUCUGUAGACCUGAUUUUGAGUAUUCCACUCUCCAUUCACUGUCACCACUCCUCUUCAUUGCUGAAGUUCUGCACUUUGACCUCACUCUCAUUACGCAUCAUCUGUCUUGUUGAGCUUAGCUUCAAGUUCAUAGUUGCUUCCUUGCAUAUACCCUGAAUUCCUUGUCUCUGACUCUAGUUAUUUCUCUUUCAGAACCCAAACCAAGUAACAGCUAUGUUUCCUUCAUGCCUGUUCUCACGCAGCUCAACAUCGCUGGAGAAUAUCAAACAGACCAUUUUCAUACUGAUGUUUGCAAAUCUCAAGUGGAUUCUCAGUACUGCUUAGUGAUCUUAUUAUGUUCCCCUACUAAGUUCAUUUUCUAACUUUGAGAUAAUUAUUUUACUACUUUUUUAUAUUUUUUUCUAGCUUGACUUGAAUACUAGCCUUCUCAAUGUUCAGCCCUUGGCUUUUUAUACAUCUUUGAGAAAAUACAAAUUACCACUUUCUUUUGAUUUAAUGGAUAUAUCUUUUAUUCUUGAGACAGUCCCGCUUUAGAUUACAUUGUGAUUUCUCUUGAACUCUUUUUUUAAAGCAGGUUUGAAAGUCCACAUAGUUUAUUUUCAUUGGUUUCCCUCUGUUUGUGUAUUUAUUUAUUUGUACCAUGUCAUGAGUUAGUCAACGUAGGUUUGCUUUAAAAUAAUUAUAUGUUCAGACCCUUGUAAAAUCUUAAAAAAUGUAUGUGUGUUUGGAUGUUGCAAAUACAAAUAUCAGUCUGUUAGGCAAAAAUUGUGGAAACCACAACUAAGGUUUGCGUCACUUGUUUAAUAUACAAAGUCUUUCACAGAUAAUUAUUUUCUUUUUCUUAAUUUGCUUUAGUACACAUGAUUCACAAAACAGUAAAUUGUUAAUGCAAGAGAAUUAUGUAAAACCAAAAUAGUACAAAUGCCUAAUUUCAAAAACUGCACACAGUUAAAAUAAUUUUUCCUUCUUUGUUUUAAUGCAGUAUCCAGUUUCAAAAUGGGCUUUCUUUAGAUGUGGAGGAAACACUGCAGCCCAAAAUAACAGUACUUCCUUUCAACUGUGUUGAUAUGUAAAAUAGCACCAUUGGGCUGACUUAGGAAAGAAAAAAGGUUUUCAUCUUUCUUAAUUAAAGUAUUAUAUAACAACUAUAAUAAUAAUGAUACUAAUAACUUUUAAGAGCUGUACUCUGUUCUAUAAUAUUCAUUUUCAAGGCAAGGAAGGGUAAACUAUAUGGGGCAGAUAGAAAAAUCUUCCCACCUCAGCCCCAGGACCCUUAUAAUGUCCCUUAAUGGUGUCAUUGUUCUAAUGAGCUAAUUUUCCUGCCAAAGAAUAGAUGUUUUAAAGAGUACCCAAGGACCUUUUGUAAAACAAGAUAAAAAACCAUGAGGUCGUCUGUCUGGGACUAUAAUCACGUGUAGAAGCAGCGCAGAGUGAGAUUUAAUGCUGGGGUGUUUUGAAAGACUCCUUCAGUCUACACCUAUCUUCCUUCAGGUUACACAUUGCUGUAUCUCAGGUUGUUGGGCUCACUUUAGUUUAGAUUUUGUUCAUUUUUAUUUUGUUUUUGUACUUAAGCUUAAUUGCCUUUUGGGCUUUACUUUUUAAAAAAUUGGAAUUUCUUUCUUUUACAAUUUAAUCUUUACUCCUGUACGAUAAGAGUGAUAGUUCUUUAAAAAAAUUAACAGCAUCAAUGUCUGGUUUAAUACUGAAGAUUCAUGAUUAUAAAGAGCCAAGGUUUUUAACACAACUGUAAUUUCAUUCUUCAAUUUUAGUCCUUUUUUUUUCAAUUCCAUUUUAUUUCUUCCACGAGCAGGUAAACAUGCCUCAAAAUUUGCAUUCCGUAGAGCAGUUUUUCUUUUUGAAGGGUAUAGUCAGUCAGUCUACAAAAAAGCACUGCCACAAAGCUAAAUCGUUUUAUUGUUUGAAAGGGCAAAUGUUCCAUUGCCACACAGAAUGUAAAAAGAAAAUAAUCAACAUUAGAUUUUAAAUGCAGGUAGUUAUUUCAGAUGUUUGAACCAUAAACAAACAACCAUUGCUGAAAAGCUUCUUAAAAGCUUGAAAUUCAGAACUUCAGGGUUUCAAAAAGUCAGAAGAAUAGCAAAAUCAAGUGUUGACUUUUAACCUGCCAGGAAGCUAUAUUAUAUUAUUUUCUCAUUUCAACAAUGUCCAAGCCCAUAAAAGUUAAUUGCAAGAAUUUAGGUAUAGUUUUAAAAUCCCAUGUCCUCUUUUACUAUUAAUAGAAUAAUGCUUACCUUUGCUUUUUAUUCUAGAAAUGUUUUCUUAGUGUUAAAAGUGUAGCCCUUAAUAAAUGAGGCUUUAUUUUAGCCGAUCAUCCUCCACUGUGAAAUCAGCCCUGCAACGUAUCUUGUUUAGGUUCGUACAGAAUUUAAACAAUAUUUUCCAUGUUAAUUAAAGUAAAUAAUUAUUUUACUUUCAGAGCAAACAAAAGAGAAAUCAACAUUUCUUUGUUUGCUGGUGUCUGGAUGUUUUUCCCCGGGAAUAUCUGUAAGCAGCAUGUUGCCAUUACUAACCCACAGGGAAAAUGGAUUAGUAAAAAGCUUAGGACAAUUAACAGGAAAAUUGCAUUAAGGUUAAUCCCUUGGAUAUGGUGCCAUGGUUAAAUCACCCACAGAUUUGUUAUUCAUAAAUGUAUUUAUCUUAAAUAUUUAAAAUGGGCAUUUAAGAGGAAUUUAAUAUACAGUUUGUUUAAGGUCCACAUGUUUUUUAAAACGUUAAUUACUUAUAUCCUU
rnacentral:lncRNA from 10 species